rnacentral:rRNA from 1 species
GACGAACGCUGGCGGCGUGCUUAACACAUGCAAGUCGAACGGCAAGGCCCUGUUUUUUUGGUUUUGUCAGGUGGCGAACGGGUGAGUAACACGAUAGUAGCCUGCCCUGUACUAUGUGAUCACUUCAGGGACCUGUGACUAAUACCUGGUAGGAUCUCCUGCUGCAUGGGGGGGGUUGGCAAGUUUCGGCGGAUGGGGAUGGAAUCGCGGCGUAUCAGCUUGUUGGUGGGGUAGGGGCUUACCAAGGCUUUGAGGGGUAGCCGGCCUGAGAGGGGGACCGGCCACAUCGGGACGGAGAUGAGGCACAGACUCGAACGGUAGGCAACAGAGGGGAAUGGUGCACAAUGGGGGGAAGCCAAACGUAGUAAAGCAGCGUGCGGGAUAACGUCCUUCGGGUUGGAUUCUGAUCUCGUCUGAGACGAAGCGUUAGUGACGGUAACGGAUAAAGAAGCACCGGCUAACUACGUG